rnacentral:rRNA from 1 species
UACGAAGGGGGCUAGCGUUGCUCGGAAUUACUGGGCGUAAAGGGCGCGUAGGCGGCACUGUUAGUCAGGCGUGAAAGUCCUGGGCUCAACCUGGGAACUGCGCUUGAUCCGGCAGAGCUAGAGGAUGGAAAAGGCUCGCGGAAUUCCCAGUGUAGAGGUGAAAUUCGUAGAUAUUGGGAAGAACACCGGUGGCGAAGGCGGCGAGCUGGUCCAUUACUGACGCUGAGGCGCGACAGCGUGGGGAGCAAACAGG